rnacentral:rRNA from 1 species
UCCACCUGGGGAGUACGACCGCAAGGUUGAAACUCAAAGGAAUUGACGGGGGCCCGCACAAGCGGUGGAGCAUGUGGUUUAAUUCGAAGCAACGCGAAGAACCUUAACAAGGCUUGACAUCCCGAUGACCGCUCUAGAGAUAGAGCUUCUCUUCGGAACAUCGGUGACAGGUGGGGCAUGGUUGUCGUCAGCUCGUGUCGUGAGAUGUUGGGUUAAGUCCCGCAACGAGCGCAACCCUUAUCUGCAGUAGCCAUCAUUGAGUUGGGCACUCUGGAGAGACUGCCGUGGAUAACACGGAGGAAGGUGGGGAUGACGUCAAAUCAUCAUGCCCCUUAUGUCUUGGGCUACACACG